UACGUAGGGUGCGAGCGUUGUCCGGAAUUAUUGGGCGUAAAGAGCUCGUAGGCGGUCUGUCGCGUCGGUCGUGAAAACUUGGGGCUUAACCCUGAGCUUGCGGUCGAUACGGGCAUGACUGGAGUUCGGCAGGGGAGACUGGAAUUCCUGGUGUAGCGGUGAAAUGCGCAGAUAUCAGGAGGAACACCGGUGGCGAAGGCGGGUCUCUGGGCAGUAACUGACGCUGAGGAGCGAAAGCGUGGGUAGCAAACAGG
rnacentral:rRNA from 1 species